GAACGUACGCUGGCGGCACGCCUAACACAUGCAAGUCGAACGAAGUAGCAAUACUUAGUGGCAGACGGGUGAGUAACAUGUAGGUAUCUGCCCUUUGGCCUGGAAUAACACGAGGAAACUUGUGCUAAUACCGGAUAAGUCUUUACGGAGAAAGCUUUAUGCACCAUUGGAUGAGCCUGCACUUGAUUAGUUUGUUGGUGGGGUAAUGGCCUACCAAGACUGUGAUCAAUAGCUGAUUUGAGAGGAUGAUCAGCCACAUUGGGACUGAGACACGGCCCAAACUCCUACGGGAGGCAGCAGUGGGGAAUCUUGCACAAUGGAGGAAACUCUGAUGCAGCGAUGCCGCGUGAGUGAAGAAGGCCUUUGGGUUGUAAAGCUCUUUCGUCGGGGAAGAAAAUGACUGUACCCGAAUAAGAAGGUCCGGCUAACUUCGUGCCAGCAGCCGCGGUAAUACGAAGGGACCUAGCGUAGUUCGGAAUUACUGGGCUUAAAGAGUUCGUAGGUGGUUGAAAAAGUUAGUGGUGAAAUCCCAGAGCUUAACUCUGGAACUGCCAUUAAAACUUUUCAGCUAGAGUAUGAUAGAGGAAAGCAGAAUUUCUAGUGUAGAGGUGAAAUUCGUAGAUAUUAGAAAGAAUACCAAUUGCGAAGGCAGCUUUCUGGAUCAUUACUGACACUGAGGAACGAAAGCAUGGGUAGCGAAGAGGAUUAGAUACCCUCGUAGUCCAUGCCGUAAACGAUGUGUGUUAGACGUUGGAAAUUUAUUUUCAGUGUCGCAGGGAAACCGAUAAACACACCGCCUGGGGAGUACGACCGCAAGGUUAAAACUCAAAUGAAUUGACGGGGACCCGCACAAGUAGUGGAGCAUGUGGUUUAAUUCGAAGAUACGCGCAGAACCUUACCAACACUUGACAUGUUCGUCGCGACUCUAAGAGAUUAGAGUUUUCGGUUCGGCCGGACGAAACACAGGUGCUGCAUGGCUGUCGUCAGCUCGUGUCGUGAGAUGUUGGGUUAAGUCCCGCAACGAGCGCAACCCUCACUUUUAGUUGCCAUCAUUAAGUUGGGCACUCUGAAAGAACUGCCAGUGAUAAGCUGGAGGAAGGUGGGGAUGACGUCAAGUCCUCAUGGCCCUUACGUGUUGGGCUACACACGUGCUACAAUGGUAUCUACAACAGGAAGCAAGACUGCGAAGUUAAGCAAAUCCCUAAAAGAUACCUCAGUUCGGAUUGCACUCUGCAACUCGAGUGCAUGAAGCUGGAAUUACUAGUAAUCGUGGAUCAGCGUGCCACGGUGAAUACGUUCCCGGGUCUUGUACUCACCGC
rnacentral:rRNA from 1 species